rnacentral:lncRNA from 1 species
CCGACAUUGCAAAUCAGAAGAGAGUAAUAUGUGCAAUCUUCUUAGGAUUAACACUGACAGGGGUGUGAUGCUGAAUGAUGGCAAGUCAAGGUUUUCGAUCAGAGGGCAGCCCAUUUACCAUUUUGUUGGCACCUCAACCUUUAGCGAGUACACUGUGGUUCAUGUUGGCUGUGUUGCCAAGAUCAAUCCUGCUGCUCCUCUCGACAAAGUUUGUGUUCUGAGCUGUGGAAUCUCUACAGGUGGGGAGAAAUACACGAUUUGAUAAAAAUCAUUGAAUGGGGGGAUUUGUUGCUUUCUUUUAAUGGGGAUUUCUCUUUUGACUUGUAGGUCUUGGUUCCACCUUGAAUGUUGCAAAACCAAAGAAAGGCUCUUCGAUAGCCAUUUUCGGACUGGGAGCUGUAGGCCUCGCGGUAAGUUUUUUUAUACAGGUAGAUUAAUGAUAAUGUUUUCUGUUCAAGCUGCAGGAAGUGUUAAUGCAGAACUUGUUCCUGUUGUUUUUUCCUAAUCCAGGCUGCUGAAGGGGCUCGGAUUGCUGGUGCUUCAAGAAUCAUUGGUGUCGAUUUGAAUUCCAAUAGAUUCGAUGAAGGUGAGAGAAGCUAUAAUGCUGUUCAUUGUGGCUGCUGAGCAUUUCUCUUAAAUUAUUGAUUGAUUCUUAGCUCAGUCUAAUAGCUAAUAUCACAAAACUGAUAAAUUUAAGUAGCUUUAAUGUUGAAUCUUGGUGAUAAUAACUGCUUUCUGAUGUUCAUUUGUGUUUUUUCAACAGCCAAGAAGUUUGGUGUCACUGAGUUUGUGAACCCAAAAGAUCAUAACAAGCCUGUUCAAGAGGUAAGUGACAAAGAGAAUCGUGUUCUGAGCACUAGCAUCGGCGCAUCCUUUACGCCUGUCCUAAUUUUGAUUUACUGUGUUCAGGUGAUAGCUGAAAUGACCAAUGGAGGAGUUGAUCGAAGUGUCGAGUGUACUGGAAGUGUCAAUGCCAUGAUUUCUGCAUUUGAAUGCGUCCAUGAUGGAUGGGGUGUUGCUGUACUUGUUGGUGUGCCGAACAAAGAUGAUUCUUUCAAAACCCAUCCAAUGAAUGUCCUGAAUGAGAGGACUCUCAAGGGCACCUUCUUCGGCAACUACAAACCGCGCUCCGACCUUCCUUCAGUUGUCGAGAAGUACAUGAACAAGGUAAAUCGGAGCUCCCAUUAAUAUUAUCCAGCUAACAUGUAGUGUGAGCAUAUAUUUCCAUACUUGCACAUGCGUAGUCGACUAGAAUUAACUACUCCAAUUCCUUCGUUUUAUUUUGAUACAAUCUAUUUCACUGUUAACUUCUCUAGUUGUAAUGUGACAGGAGCUGGAGCUAGAGAAAUUCAUCACCCAUGAAGUCCCUUUCUCAGAAAUCAACAAGGCUUUCGAGUACAUGCUUAGUGGAGCUGGCCUGAGGUGUAUUAUCCGUAUGGGUGCAUAAAAGAAGACUGGUUUGGUUUGCCUUGGUGUGACAGGAAACAAUAAAAUUCUUGUUUGAGAUUGUUGAUUAAAGAAGUUUUCUGUGUUUGAGCAUCAGUAUGUAAUUUCUUUCAUUGUUGAUGGCAAAAAUAAUAUAUAUAUAAUUAGCCCAUUUCUGGCAUGUAAAUAUAAAUCAAAGAAUCACAUGUUCGUUUUCUUUCAGUUUGUGUUUUUAAUGGUGCUGUGGAUAGAAAACUUUGAUAUAAAUCCUGAAGCCUGGCCAGAAUGGCAACUUCACUUGUUGGCCUGGCCAGAAUGGCAACUUCACUUGUUCUUGAUAUAACUAUGAUCCAAUGAAUCUAAAGGGAAACUAGCCAGUUCGGACAAAAUGCUGUUUGGAACCCGUUACCGAGGGCCCGAAGAUAGAGCAUGGUCUGUACAGAAUGAACUCCAAUUUUCGUAAAGCCGCUCAGUGGUGUGGUCAGAGUUCCCUCCAUCAGUUACCGGUUAAAACAUUGUUAAACAUGUACUACCAGUUGCCGGCAAGACUUAACACUGUUUGUAACGGUGAAGGACAAGAUUGAGAAUGAAAUGUUGAAAUUAGUACAAAUAAAAAUACAGAGUCCAAACUACUACAAAAUUAAAUGUAAAAAGGACCAGAUUAAGCUUCAAACUGUAGUUCUCAAUCCACGUUGUCGGUCUCACAUGGUAAUGUAUUUUAACCGAUUCUAUUCUUAAGACUUUAUGACUUGCUAUCAAAGUUCUUCACAUAACAUCAAUGGUCUACUUCUAAUCUUAUUAACUCAAGCCAUACAAGCUUUUUUUUAGUUUGCAAACUAGAUUUUCCUGUUCAUUUACUGGGAAUCCUUUUGGCUGCUUUAUGUAGAUAUUUUUCCUAUAAAUAUUCAUGAGAAGCAAUUUUCACAUUUAACUACUUAAGAUGCAAAUCUUUUGCAGCUACAAUUCCUAAUACUAGUAUGAUGGUUGUCAGCUUCACCCCUAGAAAAAUGAUAUAUGUGUAAUCGAUACCUUAUAAUUGCAUUAGAAUUGCUCCUCAAUUUUAGAAAAUAGAAUUUGAUUUUAUUAAUUUUAGAAAAUUGAAACAACAAUGACCAACAUUUACUUGGCUAAGCAUAUCCAACCCUUUUUUUCACUUUGGCAUGGAGAAUUACAGUUCGGUCCUAUAGUUUUAAUUUCCCCCCUUUUUUCCCCUCUUUUUUAUGGUUUCGGGUUUAAAUACCGAACUUCAUUUCUAUUAUGUUUUAGUCAUUGGACUUUGAGAGGAGAGAGAGACGACGGAUAAUGAGAAAAGAGAGAGAAAGAAGUUGGUCGGCCACAUUCCAGCCACUAGCAAGGCUGAUUUUGGUGUUAUUGGGUUCCUCUUAAUGGGAGGGUAGUCAUUUAAGUAUUUUUAGGCUUCCAUCUUACCGAAAAAUGCAAAUAAAGGUUAGGGAAGAGUUUACUUUCGUCAACUUUAUUUUAUGGGUUUUAAUCAAUUUAAGGUGGCUUUGAUGAUACAAGUUGAUUUAUUAGGAUUCUUGUAAUGUUUACUGGGUGGUUUUAAAUAAAAAUAUGCUAAAAAGUAGGUCUUUGGGUCCUAAAAAAAACCUUUAUCAUAACUUUUUAGCCACCUCUUUGAUGAUCAUAAAUCUAGCAAGCAAGCAGACGUGUCAUCUGCUUCAUAAAAAAAAAAAAUAACUUGUCGUCCACUCUUAAACAUUAAAAAAAAAGGGCAUAGCUUGCACACAAACUUUUAUCUUCCUUGAGCUACAUGUGUCUGCUUAAUAUUUUAGGCCUUAGACUCUUUUUAUAUCUUUUCCUAAUUUUUUCAAGCUUUUUUAUCAAGGUGCACUGUAAGUAAAAUACUUGUCAUGAUAUUUAAAUUAUUAUUCAAGAAAAAAGAAUUUUCUACUUAUGUUAUUUUUAAAUAGAUUUCUUAAUUUAUUUUAUCAUAUUAAUAGGGGUUUUUCCUUUUGUACAAAAUUUUAAGUCAUUAUUUUAGUUUUUUUUUAUUAAUACUUGCAUUUAGAUCAUAAUAUUUGUUUUUUUUAUCUAAAAAAAAUGUUUUCGAUUAAAAGAGUUUAGAUUGAAGAUAUAUUUUUUCCUAAUUAUUUCAAAUGAUCAAGAUUUUUACAAGCUUUUAUUUUAAUUAUAGAUGCUUUUUAUUAAAAAACAUUCUUCUAAUAAAAAAUCAUGUUAUUGUUUUUAAGAAGAUUAGAGCUCUUGUUUUAUAAUGAUUUCAUUUAUUGCUUUAUGGAUGAUUAUGGUAGCCUAAUAUGUAGAGUUUAUAAAAUUAUUUUCUCAUUAAAAUUGGAUGAGAAAAAAUAUCUAUUAUCUUAAUUUUUUAUUGUAAAUUUUAUAUGACUUCCUCAAAUUUAAUUUUCUAAUAUUAUUUUUAUGUAGAUAGUGUUUUAGAAUGUAACUAGAUAAUUAGCCCAUUUUACAUCACAAAUUGAACCAAAAAAAAUAUUGAGCUUAAAAAACAAUGUCAAUGUGUUUUUCAUUAGUAAGAAAAAAUAUAAUCAUUAGCUCAUAACCCAACUUAAUUGGUUAAUUUUAAAACCUUCUGAUUUAAAUACUUAUCUAGCUUGGGUAUCAAAUUAAUUUGUGUAGGAGUUGAUCUAAUAUUACCAUGUCGACUUAGUGAGUGAGAGGAAAACCUAAAUGACUGGCAAAAAUAUAGUUUGACUAAAAACAAAUUCAAGACAAUAUUUUUUUUAAAAAAUUAAUAAGUCGGUGAUAAAUUUGAUCAAUACAAGUCGCCUCCCAAACUAGCCACCCAAGUCAUAGACUCGAGUAGAUAUAAUAAGUUCAUUUUUAUACCCUUUUUUAUUUUAAUUAUAUGAUAGUAGAAAUAGACUAUGAGAAAAGAGAAUUAUGAUGGAUUGCACAAAAUAAAAACGUUUCCUAAUAUUAUAAAAACAUUACUAUUAUCUCACUCGAGAACAAAGCAAAAAUUAAAUGGAAUUUAAUAAAAUAAUAUUUAAAAUAUAUUUUUAAUUGAUUUAAUAAUUUUUAAAAUAAUUUUUAAAACAUAUUUUAAAUUAAUCUAUUUUUAAGAAAUUAAAUUAAUUGUUUUGGGGAAAACAAUUAAAAAAAAGUCCAGGUGCAAAAGCAUGCCAGCCCAGACCUACUCUUAUUUUAUUUCUUCUCCAAAUUAGCCACACGACAUGUCGUCCAUCUAACUUUUUUUUUUUAAAAAAAAAGAAACAAAUGAUGUGUUAUCUACAAACACAGUUUUUGACUAGUAGAAAGGUGGUUGUAAAAUUGAGCUGAGAUUUUUUUGAUUCGAAAAUCAUAUUUUUAACUUGUUUUCACCUAAAAAUACUCUUAUAACAUAAAAAAACAACAAAUUCAACAACUCAAAAACUCAAAAAUCUAUUAAAAAACACAAAGUCAAACAACAAAAGAUCUCUCUCUCAACGUAGAUCUAUUUUUGUUGAAAACUUGAAAGUGUAAAAACACUUUAAUGAAACUCUUUUCUUCAAGAUGAAUAUUUUGACAUCAAAUUUGGUUAUUUUUAUUAUUGAAAUUCAACCAACUGACCUCUGUCUUUUUCAUUCGUUGUUGUUUUAUGACUCCUUUCUUUUUUUAAAGAAAAAAAAAUUUGAACUAAACUAUUUAAUUACAAAACGAAAGGGACUAAAAAAGAAAUUUGAAAAUAUCCCAAAGCAAAAUUAAGCACGAGCACUCUAACACCAUUUUAUUUUCUUUUUUUAAAAGAAAAAUUAAGGUCUUCCAUUUUUUCUUUGUGUCAAUUUUAGUCCUCUCAAUUUCAAUCUUUUUCAAACAUUAAAACCAUCUUCUUUUUUUUGUAAAAUCAGAUUCUUGUUCAAUGUUGGAAUAAUUUUUUUGAGAUCGAGAUAAUCACAUAAAAAAUAGAUCAAAACAAGUUAUAAAUUCUAAUUUGCAAUUAAGACAACAUUGAAUGAUGAAAUCAAAAAGAAAAAAACUCGAUGAUUGAAAGCAAAAAAAAAAAAACGAUCAGAGUUAACACAAAAGUUUUUUUAAAAACAAAAGGGUUGCCAUUUUUUCUUUGUUUUGAUUUUGAUCUCUUUAUUUUUAUUUUCUUACAAACAAUAAAAAAGAAAUUAUGAAAUCGAGCAACAACAUGAUGUUGACAUGUUUUAUUGAGAUCUCAAUAACAAUAUAAAAAACAAAUAAAAAUAAAUCAUUAAUUCCAAAUCCAAACCAACAUAAUAUCAAAAAAUAAAAUUAAAAAAAAUCAAUAAUUAAAAAAAAACAAAACAAAGAAAAAAAAAGUGAGAGAGAAAAAUGCUUCAAUCCUCAUUGUAAUGUGAGGAGGGACAGUUUUCUCUGCACCUUUUAUGUUUUUUUUAUUUUAAUCAAGUCGUAGCAUAGAUUUAAGUGGUUAUUUUUUCACCGAAUGGGGAUUUAUAAACAUUUUUUUGGUGGUAAAAAUGAAUAAAAAAAUGUUUGGAAAAUAAAUAAAAGUGUUUUCUCGAGGCACUUAAAAUCAAAUACUUUUUGAAUUUUCCAGAGAAAUUUUCAGAGAAUUGCUGUGUUUAUCUCUAUAAAAGAAACCUUCUGGCAGCGUAAACCUCAUUAAAAAUCAAUAAAGGUAAUUUAUUAGGAGUCCGGCUGUAUUACAAUGUUCUAAAAGGUCAACUGCCUGGCUCAGCAGUAAAAUAAGAUACAAACAGCAAAACCACAACUGGAAAUACAAAACUAGAAUGCUAAUUGCAAAUCAACCCUUCAAUCAAGAUAUAGAUUUCAAUUAAAUGUCAAAAAAAUACUUUCUUGCAAUUUCACCAUCAAACCAUCAAUCACUUAAAAAUCAGUUCCUUACCAUGUGAUUGUAUUUUGGGUGUCAAGACCUACUUGCUAUCAUAACUUUAAUUAAGAAAAAACUACCCUACAAGAAUUUUCAAUCACAUAAAUAAAAAUAAAAUAAAACUUCUAUAUAGUCUGAAAAAUUGUGAUCUCAACCAAAUUUUUGUAUAAACUACAAAACUCUCUCUCUUUUUUUUCUUUUUCAAGAAUGUUUUGCGUAGGAAAAUUAUUAAAAUUGAUAGGUUUUUUGUAAAGAAAUACAGUGACAUUUGAACGAUAAAUUUGCAAAAAUUGUUUUAGCAGAUUGUAUUAAAACGUAUAGUAUAGUUUGAGGACUGGUUUAUAGUUAGCCAAAACCAGACACAGCGAGAAAGCCAGAAACAGGGGGAGCCGUUGUUGCCACCAAGAGAGAGAAACAGAGGACAAAUGAAACAACAGGAUCGUAAAUGGUUUUCUUUUAAGAAAUAUUCAAAUUUAUGGUCAACAUAAUCCAAAAAACAGGAGAGAUAUGCGUACUUCUGCAACUAUAAAUACCUCCAAAGACAACCUGUCUCGUCACAACUCAAGAAACAGAGCAAAGUAAUCAAAGAAGCGUUAAAGAAGGGUCUAAAGUUCGUUUAAAACAAAUAUGUCGAGCACUGCUGGUCAAGUCAUAUGUUGCAAAGGUAACCAAGAAAGUUCAUGAUUCCUUGUGGGGUCUGUGAUAUGUUCUAUGUGCUGUUGUCAUUUUGUGUAUUUGGAUUUCUCAUUUAUGUCUGGCAAUGACUUGAUGCAAUUUGCUUAAUCUGUAGCUGCUGUGGCAUGGGAAGCUGGGAAGCCACUGGUAAUAGAAGAAGUGGAGGUGGCUCCUCCUCAAGCUAUGGAGGUUCGUUUGAAGAUCCUCUUUACCUCCCUCUGCCACACUGAUGUUUACUUCUGGGAAGCCAAGGUGACUGCAUUUUCAAUUGUGAUUAUUAUGUCUGCUCAUUGGUCUUUUUAUAAUUCAUGCUAGUAGAGAUUUAUGCUUACGAAAAUGGGCUGUGAAAUUGCAGGGUCAAACCCCAUUGUUUCCUCGAAUAUUUGGUCAUGAAGCAGGAGGGUAUGAAUUUGAACCAUUAGUCCAUUAUUGGUCAUGAUUAGAUGGUGGUUCUGACUGUUGUAAUAGCGAUGAAUUGAGGUGACUAAUUUGAUCUUUUGUCCUCUUGGCUUUUAGGAUUGUUGAGAGUGUUGGGGAGGGUGUGACAGACCUCAAACCCGGUGACCAUGUGCUUCCUGUCUUCACAGGAGAGUGUAAGGAAUGCCGACAUUGCAAAUCAGAAGAGAGUAAUAUGUGCGAUCUUCUUAGGAUUAACACUGACAGGGGUGUGAUGCUGAAUGAUGGCAAGUCAAGGUUUUCGAUCAGAGGGCAGCCCAUUUACCAUUUUGUUGGCACCUCAACCUUUAGCGAGUACACUGUGGUUCAUGUUGGCUGUGUUGCCAAGAUCAAUCCUGCUGCCCCUCUUGACAAAGUUUGUGUUCUCAGCUGUGGAAUCUCUAC